rnacentral:tRNA from 1 species
CCGGGUGUAGCGCAGCUUGGUCAGCGCGCUUGCAUGGGGUGCAAGAAGUCGGAGGUUCGAAUCCUCUCACCCGGA